GACGAACGCUGGCGGCGUGCUUAACACAUGCAAGUCGAACGGAAAGGCCCUGCUUUUGUGGGGUGCUCGAGUGGCGAACGGGUGAGUAACACGUGAGUAACCUGCCCUUGACUUUGGGAUAACUUCAGGUAACUGGGGCUAAUACCGGAUAGGAGCUCCUGCUGCAUGGUGGGGGUUGGAAAGUUUCGGCGGUUGGGGAUGGACUCGCGGCUUAUCAGCUUGUUGGUGGGGUAGUGGCUUACCAAGGCUUUGACGGGUAGCCGGCCUGAGAGGGUGACCGGCCACAUUGGGACUGAGAUACGGCCCAGACUCCUACGGGAGGCAGCAGUGGGGAAUAUUGCACAAUGGGCGGAAGCCUGAUGCAGCAACGCCGCGUGCGGGAUGACGGCCUUCGGGUUGUAAACCGCUUUCGCCUGUGACGAAGCGUGAGUGACGGUAAUGGGUAAAGAAGCACCGGCUAACUACGUGCCAGCAGCCGCGGUGAUACGUAGGGUGCGAGCGUUGUCCGGAUUUAUUGGGCGUAAAGGGCUCGUAGGUGGUUGAUCGCGUCGGAAGUGUAAUCUUGGGGCUUAACCCUGAGCGUGCUUUCGAUACGGGUUGACUUGAGGAAGGUAGGGGAGAAUGGAAUUCCUGGUGGAGCGGUGGAAUGCGCAGAUAUCAGGAGGAACACCAGUGGCGAAGGCGGUUCUCUGGGCCUUUCCUGACGCUGAGGAGCGAAAGCGUGGGGAGCGAACAGGCUUAGAUACCCUGGUAGUCCACGCUGUAAACGGUGGGUACUAGGUGUGGGGUCCAUUCCACGGGUUCCGUGCCGUAGCUAACGCUUUAAGUACCCCGCCUGGGGAGUACGGCCGCAAGGCUAAAACUCAAAGGAAUUGACGGGGCCCCGCACAGGCGGCGGAGCAUGCGGAUUAAUUCGAUGCAACGCGUAGAACCUUACCUGGGUUUGACAUGGAUCGGGAGCGCUCAGAGAUGGGUGUGCCUCUUUUGGGGUCGGUUCACAGGUGGUGCAUGGCUGUCGUCAGCUCGUGUCGUGAGAUGUUGGGUUAAGUCCCGCAACGAGCGCAACCCUUGUUCACUGUUGCCAGCACGUUAUGGUGGGGACUCAGUGGAGACCGCCGGGGUCAACUCGGAGGAAGGUGGGGAUGGCGUCAAGUCAUCAUGCCCCUUAUGUCCAGGGCUUCACGCAUGCUACAAUGGCUGGUACAGAGAGUGGCGAGCCUGUGAGGGUGAGCGAAUCUCGGAAAGCCGGUCUCAGUUCGGAUUGGGGUCUGCAACUCGACCUCAUGAAGUCGGAGUCGCUAGUAAUCGCAGAUCAGCAACGCUGCGGUGAAUACGUUCCCGGGGCU
rnacentral:rRNA from 1 species